GACGAACGCUGGCGGCGUGCCUAAUACAUGCAAGUCGAACGCAGUGGGGACGGGUGAGUAACACGGGGGUAACCUCCCAACAGAGGGAAUAACACUCGGAAACAGGUGCUAAACCGAUACUGCUGGAUGGACACGCGGUGGAUUAGCUAGUUGGUGAGGUAUCGGCUCACCAAGGCCACGAUGCAUAGCCGCCCUGAGAGUGUGAUCGGUCCCACGUGAACUGGGACACGGCCCAGACUCCUACGGGAGGCAGCAGUGGGGAAUCUUCGGCAAUGGACGAACGUCUAACCGAGCAACGCCGCGUGUGUGAAGAAGGUUUUCGGAUCGUAAACCUCUGUUGUUUGGGAGGCGGUAUCUAACCAGAAAGCCACGGCUAACUACGUGCCAGCAGCCGCGGUAAUAC
rnacentral:rRNA from 1 species